rnacentral:rRNA from 1 species
AUUGAACGCUGGCGGCAUGCCUUACACAUGCAAGUCGAACGGCAGCACGGGGGCAACCCUGGUGGCGAGUGGCGGACGGGUGAGUAAAGCAUCGGAACGUAUCCUGGAGUGGGGGGAUAACGUAGCGAAAGUUACGCUAAUACCGCAUAUUCUGUGAGCAGGAAAGCAGGGGAUCGCAAGACCUUGCGCUCUGGGAGCGGCCGAUGUCGGAUUAGCUAGUUGGUGGGGUAAAGGCCUACCAAGGCGACGAUCCGUAGCGGGUCUGAGAGGAUGAUCCGCCACACUGGGACUGAGACACGGCCCAGACUCCUACGGGAGGCAGCAGUGGGGAAUUUUGGACAAUGGGCGGAAGCCUGAUCCAGCCAUGCUGCGUGAGUGAAGAAGGCCU